rnacentral:ribozyme from 1 species
UUUUUGCGCUUUUUGUUUCUCUUUUUCUAAAUUUUUAAAUCUUAACGCAUGGAAAUUAAAAAAACAAGCCAUAAG